UGACAGUACUCCUACGGGGAGGCAGCAGUGGGGGAAUAUUGCACAAUGGGCGCAAGCCUGAUGCAGCCAUGCCGCGUGUGUGAAGAAGGACCUUCGGGUUGUAAAGCACUUUCAGUCGUGAGGAAGGUAGUGUAGUUAAUAGCUGCAUUAUUUGACGUUAGCGACAGAAGAAGCACCGGCUAACUCCGUGCCAGCAGCCGCGGUAAUACGGAGGGUGCGAGCGUUAAUCGGAAUUACUGGGCGUAAAGCGCAUGCAGGUGGUUUGUUAAGUCAGAUGUGAAAGACCCGGGGCUCAACCUCGGAAUAGCAUUUGAAACUGGCAGACUAGAGUACUGUAGAGGGGGGUAGGAAUUUCAGGUGUAGCGGUGAAAUGCGUAGAGAUCUGAAGGAAUACCGGUGGCGAAGGCGGCCCCCUGGACAGAUACUGACACUCAGAUGCGAAAGCGUGGGGAGCAAACAGGAUUAGAUACCCUGGUAG
rnacentral:rRNA from 1 species